UUGAGGGUACUGAGCAUCAGGCUUGCCCUAAAUCAACAGGGAAAAUAAACAGGCUAGUUUCAGCAAAUACCAGCAGCUUCCCAGUAAGUGAGUUAAGUGGACUAAAAAAUAUGGUCUGUCACCCCCUGGUGCUGAACAGUCCAGUAAAUGUAUACAUGCCUGAGCAGACUGUGCAGACCACCUGCCGUAAAUAUGUCACCCAGAUUCCUUAGCCUCUUCAAUACCUACAGAAGCCUCAUUCCUUUCCCAGUUAAUUGCUAGUAUCUCUCCCUCCUGGUGUUAGCCCAUCUUCUCAGGGAUGAAGUCUCUCCCAGCCAGCUGUCACUAUCGCUUUCCCAUUGUCAGCCCACCCACGCAAGGAUGGAUGUAUUAAACUCAGCUUUUCCCAGCUAGCUGCUAAAAUCUCCUGAUUUCUAGUCUCUGUUCACUGCAAUAAACUUUUCUUUUUCUCACAAUGGAGAGCCCAUCUUAUUGACAAGUGGAUUCUGCAUAACAUUGUGGUCCCGUGACUGGGUGAGGCCCCACCUCAGGAGCCACUAAACCCACUGGUCAACAUGUUCUUCAGAUUUUGCUUCAGCAUUGCAGGCAAGCUGCUCAGCUCCAUUCUACAUGCUUCAGACCAGUGGAGCCACCUCACAAGACACAGCCAUGGAAUCCAAGACCCUUCCUAGCCAUCACUCGCAGCGGAACCACAGCCCGCUACCACUGGGACAGCUGGGACCUACGCUGCACGAGGACUCGGCCUUCCUCCCUGACACCACUGCUGUGACUGCCUGGCUCUGCUGAAAACAAGGCCCUGGCCCCACAGGUGACACAGCCGCUGCCCUGGACACUAGGCAUGGGGGUCCUGCCUUGAGAGACCCUACACUAAGCGUGCCCAACUCUGCAGGCCCCACUGAGCCUCACACCCCUGCGCUGCCUGCUCCCCGACACCACUCUGGCUCUUACCCCUCUCCUCCUCCGAGACCUCUGAGGGACUGAGGGGCUGCUGGAGGCUCAGUCAGGUGCCAGCGCCCCUGGGAGCCAGAGCUUCACCUCCAAGACUGUCAGUCUGCAAGUCAUACUUCCAUCAGGCAGACUCAAAUUCCAGAAAAUGUAUAAAUGCCUCACUUUUGUGUAUGUUUUAUUUACUUUCAGUCUGGUUUAAUCUGUUUUCAGGGCACUAUGGGUAACUUCUCCCCGGAAAGAGACCAAAUUGUUUCCUUUCUUUUCACCCUCCUCUUGUUCGAUAAUCCAUAAGAAGAGCCUAAGCACUUCCCGCCCCCUUCCCGUGCCCUUUGACCCAGUUAGCCCUCCCAUUUCUUUAACAGUGCCCCUAGGUGAUACCUCUGGUGGUCCCUCCAAGACUGCAGUUCACCCCUUCCCUGCCCCCUUCACUCUUCUCUUACAGAACCUCAUUCGGGAUGGUAACCUGCCAAUCCCAGAUGUUUCCCUAAGUUUUUCUCCCGUGUAGGAUGUCACCGCUGCCCAUUUGUCACCCCGAAGCAGCCGGUGAGAAGCUCUGCCUCCUCUCCCUUCUCUCUAUAUAACAACAAAAUGAUGGGAAUGUCAGGCCUGCCCUGAAUCAACGGGGAAAACAAACAGGCUGCUUUUAACAAAUACCAGCAGCUUCCCAUAAGUGAGUAAGUGGACUAAAACAUAGGGUCUGUCACCCCCGGUGCUGAAUAAUCUAAUCAGUGUAUACGUGCCCGAGCAGACUGUGCGGACCACCCUAAGGUGUGAGUACGUCACCCAGAUUCCUUAGCCCCUUCCGUACCUAUAUAAGCUUAGUCCCUUUCCCAGUUCAUUGCUAGUAUCUCUCCCCGCUGGUGACGUUAUUCUCUCAGGGAUGGAGUCCCUCCCUGCUAGCCACCGCUAUGUCUCUUUCCCUCCCUCCGCCAUUAGAAUC